rnacentral:rRNA from 1 species
CACGUAGGCGGAUUUGUAAGUCAGGGGUGAAAUCCCGGGGCUCAACCUCGGAACUGCCUUUGAUACUGCAAAUCUCGAGUCCGGAAGAGGUGAGUGGAAUCCUAGUGUAGAGGUGAAAUUCGUAGAUAUUAGGAAGAACACCAGUGGCGAAGGCGGCUCACUGGUCCGGUACUGACGCUGAGGUGCGAAAGCGUGGGGAGCAAACA